AGUUCUUGGCAGCUCUGGCGUUCAGUUCCUGGAGGUUCCAGACCUAAAGGCACUGGGGAACCUAGAAAUGGAGGCUUCCUUCAGAGGCCAGGAUGGAACCAUGUCUUCCUGGGCUGCCUUGGCAUGGACUACACAGGACACUUCUGCUUCUGAGCCGCUGGUCCAGGAAGUUGCUCGGGUGCACAGCCUAAGAAGACCGACAGAGAAGGCUUGAUCAGCAUAAGCUGCAAUCAUCCUCUCUUUCCCCA
rnacentral:lncRNA from 1 species